rnacentral:piRNA from 1 species
UGGUAUGAGAGUAGUGGACAGAA